UGGUCCCGACCUUGAAAUCAAUUUUUACCCAAUUUACACAUGCAAGUCUCCGCACCCCUGUGAGAAAGCCCUAAAACCCCAUUUGGGGUAAGGAGCCGGCAUCAGGCACAUAUUUUGCCCACGACGCCUAGCCUCGCCACACCCACAAGGGAAUUCAGCAGUGAUUAACAUUGAUAAUAAGCGCAAGCUUGACUCAAUUAGGGUGAAGAGAGCCGGCAAAUCUGGUGCCAGCCGCCGCGGCUACACCACGUGGCUCAAAUUGAUCUUCCUCCGGCGUAAAGCGUGAUUAAAGUCAUCUUGUAUCUGUAGUCAAACUGGAAUUAAACCGUGAUAACCUUAUACCCAGGAAGAGCAAAAACGAAAGUUACUACAAAACCCCCCCCCCCACUUGACCCCACGACAGCUGAGACACAAACUGGGAUUAGAUACCCCACUAUGCCCAGCCGUAAACCUUAACUUACACCCAAAUCGCCAGGGAACUACGAGCUAUGCUUAAAACCCAAAGGACUUGACGGUGCCCCAUAUCCACCUAGAGGAGCCUGUCCUAUAAUCGAUAACCCCCGUUUAACCUCACCACUUAUAGCCUAUCAGCCUGUAUACCUCCGUCGUCAGCUUACCACGUGAGCGCUUUUUAGUAAGCACGAGGGUCACCCAUCAAAACGUCAGGUCAAGGUGCAGCACAUAAAGUGGGAAGAGAUGGGCUACACUUUCUAAUUUAGAAGACACGAAAGACUAUCUAUGAAACCUAGUCUGAAGGCGGAUUUAGUAGUAAAAAGAGACAAGAGUGCUCUUUUUAACACGGCACUGGGGUGUGUACACACCGCCCGUCACCCUCUUCGAAGCUAAUAAGUAGUAUUUAACACAAUUAAGCAAAAAAGAAGAGGUAAGUCGUAACAUGGUAAGUGUACCGGAAGGUGCGCUUGGAAU
rnacentral:ncRNA from 1 species